GAACGUAAAAUCCGUCCUGCUGCGUGCAUAUCUGCGCUCCGCCGCCUCCUUCCAGCUUUACCGAUGAGUACAGCCGUCCAACCGGACAAAAGAAUCAGUUCUGAUCGGUUAUUUUCAUGCAGUAUCAAGCAGACUGUAGACGGAUGAAAUGGUGCCGCUGAGCCGUGUGUUACGUGAUCGCAGUGCGCAGAACAGCGCCGCCGCGCGGUCAGACUGAGAACAGCGAGCAGCUUCAGGUGAUGCUGUAAUACAGAGAGAAAAAAAAAGAUGUGGCCAUGCGACGACUGAAGCUGGAAAUAUCGCUUUCUUGUUUGGAGGAGCUUCCAGCGUGAUCACAGAGGAACUUCAGGACGUGCUGAAACGACACAGGUCUCAGAACGAGGCGAGAACCACAGCGAGAGGAAGGAGCUUGUAAACUGAAU
ensembl:lncRNA